GGGGGUAUAGCUCAAUGGUAGAGGAGUAUUUGACUGCAGAUCAUGAGGUCUCUGGUUCAGAUCCAGGUGCCCCCC
rnacentral:tRNA from 1 species